GACGAACGCUGGCGGCGUGCUUAACACAUGCAAGUCGAACGAUGAACCCGGAGCUUGCUCCGGCGGAUUAGUGGCGAACGGGUGAGUAACACGUGAGUAACCUGCCCUUGACUCUGGGAUAACUGCGGGAAACCGUAGCUAAUACCGGAUACGACCCUCGGCGGCAUCGCCAGGGGGUGGAAAGAACUUCGGUCCAGGAUGAGCUCGCGGCCUAUCAGGUAGUUGGUGAGGUAAUGGCUCACCAAGCCUACGACGGGUAGCCGGCCUGAGAGGGUGACCGGCCACACUGGGACUGAGACACGGCCCAGACUCCUACGGGAGGCAGCAGUGGGGAAUAUUGCACAAUGGGCGCAAGCCUGAUGCAGCAACGCCGCGUGAGGGACGACGGCCUUCGGGUUGUAAACCUCUUUUAGCAGGGAAGAAGCGAAAGUGACGGUACCUGCAGAAAAAGCACCGGCUAACUACGUGCCAGCCGCCGCGGUAA
rnacentral:rRNA from 1 species